rnacentral:lncRNA from 1 species
UAUAAUUUGAAUGGCUCAGUUAUCCACUUAUUCUCUUCUUCAUAAACUGCCUCCACAACAGCAGCAAGAACCAUGCGACGCUGAGGGCUCCUGGCUGCUGCAGCAGCUGUGAUAAAGCAGGACCUUGGGAACCAGCAUGGCUUACCUACACCGGGGGUGGCUUGAGCAGGCAUUUUUGUUAAUAACAGUACAGAAAAAAACAUUAACAUGCACCAGGAAAGAGAAGAACAGGCGAGAUGAAAGAGUUGCUAAAGAUAAUGCAAAAAGAAAUGAGCUGGACCAGAGUGAAUAGGCUGCAUACAGCUCUGAAGCUUGUUUCAAAAGGAUCCUUUCAGCUGCAGAUCAUUAUGUCAUCCACUCUAAAGAGCUGCCAUUCUGCUCCUGCCCAGCAGCUCUAGGAGAGCUAGGCAAACCUAGUGGGUCUGAGCUGGGAGGUGGCUGAGCAUAUUCCAGUAUUCUCCUAGAGCUUGAGAUAUGUGGUGAGUGUUGUAUGUGCACAAGAACUGGAGAAGGAAACCAGGAGAUGUGUAUUAUAUUUGCAGAAAAAUUGUGAUUGGGAAGACUUCUCAGUAACACUGGUAAGGUGACUGGCUGCUGUGAAGAAAGUGUUUGUAUCCUAUUUUUUAAGUAUCUAAGAAGAUAAUUUUUAUCCUGCCACUAUUUAUGCAAAUGCAACCAAAUUCCCACAGAAAUACUGCUACUGUUUUUUGGGGUUUUGUUUUUUU